rnacentral:lncRNA from 1 species
CUUGGCUGAACAAGUUGCUCCACUUGCUCAGCUGGCUGUCCCUCGCCAACGCACAGGCACGGCCGGGCGUAAGUACACCCGUUAUGCCAAAGGCUAAAGACUGUGAAACAGAGAGGGGCUGUGCUGGGCAAGGAAGCCCAGGCAGGCAGGAAUUAUUCAGAUAACACGAGUUCCUUCCUAAAAAAAAUCACUAUUAAUUGCAGGUAUCACCCUUCCCCUGCAGGUCUCACCUUGCCUCGUUGCAACAUGGAGUCGCAAAGCCCCCAAGGGCUUUGUUUUGAAUUGAUUAUUUUGUGCACCAGACGGCAGCUAUCAUCCCUCUAUGCCCAGGCUUCGCCCUCCAUGUAGCGACCAUCCUCGGGGAGGAAGGAAGGUUUUCCCCUCCCUCCUGCCUUCCCUGAGGCCACCCGUGUUGUCAUGGCAAUUCAGAUGCUCCUGCAGCAGGCACGGGGACAUCUCCGGGUUUCAGUGAGUGUUUGCUGGAUGUGCCCAGCUGGUGCUGCACAGCCAACUCUGCCCAGCAAAUCUCUGCGCACCUCACGCUUUGACCUGCGUUUCCGUGCCCAGAAAGAGGAAGGUGAGAAGCUGCAGCCAUCAGGACCAGCACUAGGGAAACGGCAGCGUGAUGCAGAAGGACGACGUCCCCCGCGAGCGUGGCAGGGUAACACCCUGUGCCUGCAGGAGCUGGCUGUCACCCAGUGCCAGGCACCUAACCCAUGACAAAGGCCCACGGGACCAUUGCUUCUGAGUACAAACAUUUGUCCCUGGGGCCUGUUGCCCUGGGAGUCAGCCUGGGGUAAAGAAGAAAUAUUUGUCUCCUGGAGCCUGCAGAGGAAGGCUGCAGA